CGAAAUGCGAUAAGUAGUGUGAAUUGCAGAAUUCAGUGAAUCAUCGAAUCUUUGAACGCACAUUGCGCCCCUUGGUAUUCCAUGGGGCAUGCCUGUUCGAGCGUCAUUUGUACCCUCAAGCUUUGCUUGGUGUUGGGCGUCUUGUCGGAAUAUCCGACUCGCCUUAAAUACAUUGGCAGCCGGCACUUUGGCCUAGGAGCGCAGUACAUUUUGCGAUCGUAAGCCGUUGUGACAGCAUCCAUAAGAUUUAUUUUACCACGUUUGACCUCGGAUCAGGUAGGGAUACCCGCUGAACUUAAGC
rnacentral:misc_RNA from 1 species